AACACGCUCCUUAGAUCCACCUCUGGAGGGCGCUGUUCUCUGAGCAGAGCUCCUCGGCAGCUUUCUGGCUGUACAGUCGGAGGUGCUUGAGUCAUUGGCGUGUGACAGCAGUCUACCUGCCCCCCCGCCCACCUGCUGCGCUGGCACC
rnacentral:snoRNA from 1 species